rnacentral:lncRNA from 1 species
GCUCUUCCCGGCGCGGAGGGAUCCGAAGCCGAGCCGAGCGUGGUGCUGAGGCCGCCUCAGCGAAAAAAAUGUCCGCCUGAGGAGACCCACAAGUUCUAUUCGGGGGGACCGUCAGCCCGCCCCGGUAGGAAGGGGCGGCCAGGCCCGAGAGCCGCCUCCCCCGCCCGGAUCCGAGAGCUUGCGCGGGGCAAAGUGAGCCGAAUCGCCGGGCGGUGCGAGGGGAAGCCCGAGCCCGCACUCCUGGCCAAAGUGAACUUUAAUCGGGGUGGUUGGAUGCGGAGACGGGGCGGCAGGACCUACUAGAAGUGGCCCAAGAUGAAUCCCCAACAGCAGCGCAUGGCCGCUAUAGGGACCGACAAGGAGCUGAGCGACCUGCUGGACUUCAGUGCGAUGUUUUCUCCACCUGUUAAUAGUGGGAAAACCAGACUUCGUCUUAAAAUUAUAAACAAAAACAAGCCCUUAAAUGUGGGCUGUUGCUCUAAAGAUCCAUUGACUUUUAAGAAUUUCAAUAUGAAUUUAAAAAUUGUUCUCUUUUCUGUGAUUUUUUAAAUUGAAAAUUGCUUUGCUUGAAUACAAGGGAUUUUAUCAUGCCUCUAUGUUUAGGAAAGUAUCAGAAGAAAGUGCUCUGUAGCCCAUGUGUGGUAUUUUUUGUUUAUUUAAACAUGUGUAUUUUAAAAUUUUGCUAAAAAUUUAGCACAUUAGCAUUAUUAAACCUUUGGAUUCUAAAAAAUUGGUAAAAUAAUUCUAUUUAAAAUAUAUGUGUGAAAAGUGGAAUUGAGUCAAGCAAUAAUUAGACUUGUUUUAAAAGAUGGCUAUUCCUUUGGAGGUCUGUAGCAAAUUAACAAUUUUGUAUACAGUUAUUUGGAAUAUUACAAAUAAAUGAAUAGAAAGUGAGUAUGCUUUCAAAUAACACCUAUGAGAUAAGUGCAUUCUGACCUACGUUCACAUUACAUUAGGAUAACGUUUAGAGUAAGUUAAAUUAGAGUCCUAUUCUUUUUGUCUUUUGUCUUUAGAUUUACUUUCUGUAUAUUUACAACUACUCUGCUUUAUUAUUAACAUUUAUCUCACAUUUCUUAAGUAUGCUUUUUUUUUGUUUGUUUGUUUUUCUUACUCAUUUAAACUCAUGAUUAAAAAAAACAAACGUUCCAGAAGCAGGGUCCAUUCUAAUGCACAAAAGCUAUAAUUUUCUCUUUAACUUAGAUUUACUCCUUAGGGCUCAGAGAUGAAAAAAAAAAUAACCAAGGCCAAGACAGCAUUAUCUUUUAAGAAAACCAGCUGUCAGAUUUCUAGGCUGAAACUCAGUAAUUCCUUUUUGUUUGGUGCUUUUUUAUUUUCCCUAGUAAAAUGAUAGUUGAUUUCUUAAGAUAAUGUGAGAGCAAAACAUGAGAAAAGAAGGUGAAUUUCAUAACCAGUUUAUUUAUACUACUUUACAUUAAAAAAAAUGUUCCAAUUCAAAAACCAUACACUAACUUAAUUUACUGAAGUUCAUUUUUAAUGAUGAAAUUUUGCUUUAGGGGAAUAUAUACCAUGUUGUUUAACAUCUCAGAGAAGUAAAAUAAAAACAUUUUGGAUUUUAAAUAUUCUAAAGACUAAUAUUAUUCUUUAUCAAAAGGGUAUCAUAAAAUGUCACUAAACCCCAGCUAUUUUCCCACCUCCAUCCAUUUAUUGGUAAUGAUUUGGAAAAAUCAUCACUUUUUGGGGUUGAGGAGAGGAAAUUAUUAGUUAAUAUGGAAGAAAGCUAAGACGUCUUCUCUUUCUUUACUACUAUGAGUGCAUCUCAGUUUUUGCAACUAAUCAUUCUCAAGAACUUUCAAAUUUACUUUGUCUAGUAUAUAGUAGAUACUUAGUAUAUUUCAUUAAAUGACUAGUGAUACUGCUGUUUGAAGCUGUUUUGGAUUGAAUUGGAGAAAAUAUGUUUCAUUGACAUUGAUAUCAAGGACAUGAACUUUGGAAACUUGCUAUUAUAAAUACUGUCUUUUUAGAAUAAGGGCAACUUUUUUUUUUUUUACUUUUUAAAUUUAAGAAGGUAUAAUAUAUGUAGUCUGAAAUUAAGUGUAGUGAACUUGGUGUGUCUUAACUAGUAUGGCAUUGAAGCAGUUGUGGGUCCUUCUUUAUGUAGCAUGCAUUAUACAAAGAAAUAAUUAUUUUUCUACAUCGUAGAAGUGGUUGUUAAAUUUGAUUCUUUGGCUCAGGAAAUUUUUAGUUUUAAAACUGUUAGAUUUGUUAUUUAUCCAUUGAAAAUUUAACUUGAAUAUGUAUCUGUGUCUUAUUUAAAUUUCAGGAAAAAAUUUAAUUAUAGUUUUAAAAAAAGCUAUGAUUUUUGGUAAUUAGUGAAUAGAUUUCAGGGAGGGGAAAAUAGCAAAGUGAUUAUUUUAUAUGAAAGUAUAUUGGUAAAUAUGGCUCUGUAGCCAUUUCUUAAAGGAAAUGUCUGAAAGAGAUUGGUAUAGCAGUAUUAUUUUAUUUAUAUAUUUUAUUGACACUUUACUCAUCUUCUGUCCUGAUGUCAAAGGAUGUGUAACAUGUCUUCAUGCUUGUUUAUUUAGUUAUCUUUUUUUUUUUUUGUCUUUUUAGCUAUUUCUUGGGCCGCUCCCGCGGCAUAUGGAGAUUCCCAGGCUAGACUUAGAGAUGAGUUAAUUUCACAGAAUAUGCUAUAAUACAGGAUGUUAUUUUAAAAUCUUAUUCCAAAAGCAAAAUAUAACUUGAAUGAUAGCUGACACUUCGUCAAAAAUUGCUAUGGGAAAGAUUAAUGUGUCUUUUCUGUUAAUUUGUCUUGAGGAGUUGGUUAUAGUCCUAUUUUUUCAUCAAGGGUGUUAAUUUUCUUUGCAUUAUGAUAAGACUGAAUAUGUCCGCUUGGUAUGAUAGCCACGAGGUAUCAGUGACCUUGAGAGAGGGGUUUCUCUCUGUAGGAGUUAAAGGUGAGGCACUUUGUAGGGCACAGUGUGUAAGAGGAAAGCUUGUUGAAAGGAUUGACAGACUGGAAAUAGUUCAAGUGUUUAAAUCCACUGUCCCUCCAACUUCAGUGUGUAGAACUAAAUUGUGAUAUUGGGUUUAAUUUUUAGUAGUUUAAAUGUUUACAUGAUAUCCGAAAGAUUUCUUUUGUUAGUUUUUGAAUCCAAGUAAUAAGAGAUGUUGAGAGUGGGAUGUUUUGUUUUGUAAGAGGUCUGUAUGUAUUGAGUCUGUCUCAUGUUUCUACCUAGAGAGUUAUUUUAGCUAGCAAAUAAAAUUUUUACUAUUUCUUGUUCAAAUCAGACUUUUGUUACACUAUAGAUUUCUUCUUGCUCAAGAUUUUCAGAAUUAGUUAUAAACUAUUUUCUACCUCUUAAUUUUAAAAAGGAAUACAAUUUUUCAUUCUUCAGAUACUGAUUAGUUUUGGUGGGGGAUUUUAACAUGUACGUAUAGGGUUUUUGAAAAUGUUAAUACAGGGCCAGAAAAAUGGAUUCUUACUAAAUUGCUCUUCAGUAAUUUUUUAAAUUAAACUUUUUGUUUUGAGAUAAUUGUAAAUUCAUAUGCAGUUGUAAGAAGCAAUACAGAGAUCCUACUUACAGUUUCCCAUGUUUCCUGUAAUGGUAACAGCCUGCAAAACUGUGUACAGUAUCAUAGCUAGGUUAUUGACAGUGAUGCAGUCAGGAUUCCAUGAACAAUUCAUCAUCACAAGGAUCUCUGGUGUUUCCCUAUUAUAACUGUGUCUACUUCUCAAGU